GGUAACUUCAUCAGCACAUUAUGGUAUUGAGUUAAAUUCUUUGGAAAAAGGAAAAAUUUUUGGUUUGGUAGAAAAAAUGAAGAAACCAAGUGACCUACAUUUCAGGCUGAUUAGUGAAGGAGCUGAGUGCAUUUUUAUUCCCACCAAAAUCUUUCUCAUGGAAGCACCCAUUAUAUCCCAGGAAAUGGCUGUAGAGCUGGUGAAUAGUUAUCCCUCAAAGGGCACAAUUAGGGAGCACCUUAUCAAAAAGCAAGCUUGGAAUAAUUACAAAGCCAAGGUGGUCGCUCAGCAGAUAAAGAGAAAUGCCAGAAUAAUGUCAUCCUAAAUUUCUUUUUAAAGGACAUUGGCUGUGAUAGUGAGAAGACUUUAGAUAUAAAAAAAGGAGGGUAAAAAUGUUAUUGCCUCUUGAGGAGACAGAACAAAUCGCUAAAUAGUUGCAGGCAUAGAAGCAAUUCACACCUGUUUAGUGCAACAGGGAAGGAAAUGCCAUUUCUUUGCUGACUUGAAACUAUCACAGAGGUUUUCUUAGAGAAAAAGAAAUUCAUGCACAUAUGAAAUCGCAAUCAAUUUAAAUGACAGUAGGCAAAGUUAAGCAUAAACAUGUAUAUGCUGAGUUCACAUAUUAAACAAUAUAUUACUACUGUUUGUUUAAUAUUGAUGUUGCACUUUGUGUCACUUACUUCAAAAUAGUGAUAACUUCAAGCAAUAAAGAGGGGGGAAAACUUGAAAGAACUGUGUGCAGAGACAAAAUGAGAAAGCUAGAGCUCUGUAUGUAGCAUUCAGAAACAUCAAAUUAACUUUUUGUUUGUUUUUUUUAUAGUUUUUUCUUGUAAAGGUUGCAGCUUGGCUAAAAAAAAUAAUCUUUGUAUUAUAUGUUAUUUGGUUGUUUUGUUGAUGGCUAUUGAUCUUAAAUAAAUUUUUGUUUAAAAAAA